rnacentral:rRNA from 1 species
UACGAGGGGGGCGAGCGUUGUUCGGAAUUAUUGGGCGUAAAGGGUGCGUAGGCGGUUUGGUAAGUCUCGUGUGAAAUCGUCCGGGCUCAACUCGGAGCCUGCACGAGAAACUGCCGGGCUUGAGUGUGGGAGAGGUGAGUGGAAUUCCUGGUGUAGCGGUGAAAUGCGUAGAUAUCAGGAGGAACACCUGUGGCGAAAGCGGCUCACUGGACCAUAACUGACGCUGAUGCACGAAAGCUAGGGGAGCAAACAGG